rnacentral:hammerhead_ribozyme from 1 species
ACCUUACGGACGAGUCCCAAACAGGAUGAAACGUGCGUCAAACUAGAU